CCUACGGGCGGCAGCAGUGAGGAAUAUUGGUCAAUGGACGAGAGUCUGAACCAGCCAAGUAGCGUGAAGGAUGACUGCCCUAUGGGUUGUAAACUUCUUUUAUAUGGGAAUAAAACGUUCCACGUGUGGGAUUUUGUAUGUACCAUAUGAAUAAGGAUCGGCUAACUCCGUGCCAGCAGCCGCGGUAAUACGGAGGAUCCGAGCGUUAUCCGGAUUUAUUGGGUUUAAAGGGGGCGUAGGGGGAUUGUUAAGUCAGUUGUGAAAGUUUGCGGCUCAACCGUAAAAUUGCAGUUGAAACUGGCAGUCUUGAGUACAGGAGAGGUGGGCGGAAUUCGUGGUGUAGCGGUGAAAUGCUUAGAUAUCACGAAGAACUCCGAUUGCGAAGGCAGUUCACUGGACUGCAACUGACACUGAGGCUCGAAAGUGUGGGUAUCAAACAGGAUUAGAUACCCGUGUAGUC
rnacentral:rRNA from 1 species